rnacentral:rRNA from 1 species
GACGAACGCUGGCGGCGUGCUUAACACAUGCAAGUCGAGCGGUAAGGCCCUUUCGGGGGUACACGAGCGGCGAACGGGUGAGUAACACGUGGGUGACCUGCCCUUAGCUCUGGGAUAAGCCUGGGAAACUGGGUCUAAGUACCGGAUAUGACUCCAUGACGCAUGUUGUGGGGUGGAAANCCUUGUGCGGCUAGGGAUGGGCCCGNGGCCUAUCA